rnacentral:rRNA from 1 species
GAUGAACGCUAGCGGCAGGCCUAACACAUGCAAGUCGAGGGAGGAGCUUUCGGGCUUCGACCGGCGUACGGGUGCGUAACGCGUAUACAAUCUGCCUUUCACAUAGGGAUAGCCCGAAGAAAUUUGGAUUAAUACCUAAUGGUAUAUAGGAGUGGCAUCACAUUUAUAUUAAAGCUGAGGCGGUGAAAGAUGAGUAUGCGUUCUAUUAGCUAGUUGGAGAGGUAACGGCUCCCCAAGGCGACGAUAGAUAGGGGUUCUGAGAGGGAUAUCCCCCACACUGGUACUGAGAUACGGACCAGACUCCUACGGGAGGCAGCAGUGAGGAAUAUUGGACAAUGGUCGGAAGACUGAUCCAGCCAUGCCGCGUGCAGGAAGACGGCCUUAUGGGUUGUAAACUGCUUUUGCAGGGGAAGAAUAAGGACUACGAGUAGUUUGAUGACGGUACUCUGCGAAUAAGCAGCGGCUAACUCCGUG